rnacentral:rRNA from 1 species
CUACCAUGCAAGUCGAACGAUGAAGCCCAGCUUGCUGGGUGGAAGAGUGGCGAACGGGUGAGUAACACGUGAGUAACCUGCCCAUCACUCUGGGAUAAGCGCUGGAAACGGCGUCUAAUACUGGAUAUGAACAGCGACCGCAUGGUCAGUUGUUGGAAAGAUUUAUUGGUGAUGGAUGGACUCGCGGCCUAUCAGCUAGUUGGUGAGGUAAUGGCUCACCAAGGGGCGACGACGGGUAGCCGGGCCUGAGAGGGUGACCGGCCACACUGGGACUGAGACACGGCCCAGACUCCUACGGGAGGCAGCAGUGGGGAAUAUUGCACAAUGGGCGCAAGCCUGAUGCAGCAACGCCGCGUGAGGGAUGACGGCCUUCGGGUUGUAAACCUCUUUUAGUAGGGAAGAAGCGCAAGUGACGGUACCUGCAGAAAAAGCACCGGCUAACUACGUGCCAGC